GGUGGCUCAGUGGUAGAGCGCUUGCCUUGCAUGCAUGAGUCAUGCCCUGGGUUCGAUUCCUCAGCACCA
rnacentral:tRNA from 1 species